GAGCCCACUGCUGAAGAAAGAAGUAGCAAAGUGAAUUUUAAAUGUCUCUGCAGUGUAAUAAGGCAAGAAUAGUUUCAGACACAGGUGCCCUCUAAGAUUUUCACAUCCUUGUACCUCUGCUGCAUAAUUUGCAUAAUGGAGCUUUCCUGUGAAGUUGCCGUUUGCUCUGCAAGACACUUCAGGUUUGCCUUACAAAAUACAUCUCAAUUUUAAGACUUCAAUUCAGUAGCUGGAAUGAAAAUAUAAGGAGCAAAAAUGAAAAGCAACACAGGUUUACAAGCAAAUCAACAAGAACAACAACAAAAUACAAAUGGAACAAAACAAAAGAAAACUAAUUGAAGACACAGAAAUAUUUUAGGAAACAUAAACUUUACUCCUAAGUCAGAUACAAUUUACAGAUAUAACAGGAAAUAGUUCUUUGUCUUUUCUGAAAGUUACUAAAGGUCUACAUUAAUUUUUACCUAUUAAGGGAAACAUGAAUAUGUAAUUUUCUCU